rnacentral:rRNA from 14 species
AAGCGACUAAGGGCGCACGGUGGAUGUCUUGGCGUCGAGAGGCGAUGAAGGACGUUGGAACCUGCGAUAAGCCACAGGGAGCUGGUAACCGAGCUGUGAUCUGUGGAUCUCCGAAUGGGGAAACCCACUCUGUUUACAGAGUACUGUUGUCUGAAUGCAUAGGGCAACAGAGCGAACCCAGGGAACUGAAACAUCUCAGUACCUGGAGGAAAGGAAAUCAACCGAGACUCCGUAAGUAGCGGCGAGCGAAAGCGGAUGAGGCGAAGUGAACACGUUGGAAUGCGUGGCCGAAGAAGGUGAAAGCCCUGUAGUGAGCCGUUUAGCCAUAGAGUAGCGUCGGGCUCGUGAAACCCGGCGUGAACAUGGGGGGUCCACCCUCCAAGGCUAAGUACUCCUCGACGACCGAUAGUGGACCAGUAAGGUGACUGAACGAUGAAAAGCACCCCUAUGAGGGGAGUGAAAUAGCACCUGAAACCGUGCGCUUACAAGCGGUGGGAGCCCUUCGGGGUGACCGCGUGCUUUUUGCAUAAUGAGCCCGCGAGUUAGUCUCAUCGGCGAGCCUAAGGCCUACCGGGCCGGAGGCGAAGGGAAACCGAGUCUGAAUAGGGCGCCCAGUUGCAGGGGCUAGACGCGAAACCCGUGUGAUCUACC